rnacentral:misc_RNA from 1 species
GUACCAGCUUUCUCUGCUUUUGUCUUUUGCUUCUUUUUCGUACUUUUGGAUUGUACGCUCGUCAACCUGAUUGCUAAGGAAAAGUAUCUGGCCUCCAAUUGUAGACUUACCAGCAUCAACAUGACCAAUGAACACAACAUUCAAGUGUCUUUUGCGGUCUAACUCCACAUCCCCUUCAUCUUCAUUUUCAGUUGAAGAAAUUUCCUUCUCCUUAGCAGAUAUGUUCUCCUUCACUUGUUCUUGAACGUGGAUAGCUUGGGCUUGCUGGGGAUGGUCCUCUUCUUCCAUCUUAUUGGACUUCACAAUUUCUUCUGUCCUUGCAUCUUCUUCCGGAUUAUCGGAUUUCACAACUUCCUCCAUCUUUGCAUCUGGAUUAGGAACCCCAUUAACAUCUGGUGGAUCAAGUUCUAAUGCACGAAUAUCCUCCUCGAUAUCCAUGGAACAGUGGCCGUAAGCUGCGAAGAAGUAAGUCUAGGGUUUCUCGUAACGCAGUGAGCAGGAAGAAA